ACUAAAAUAAAGAGGGGCUACAUAACUUCUUUCAACAGGAUUGAAGAGACCUGUAAUAAGCUGCAGAGUAAGUCUUACUUUGUGACUGAAAUUGUGCCUUUUUCCCUAGAAUUACUUUCCAUACUAGCUGAUGAAAUUGAAAGGAAGAAGAGGAAGAAAACUACAUGUCAUUUUGAGCAAAGCCAUAGCAAAAAAUCUGAUUGUCCACUUGCAGGACGGGUCUUUCCAGACGAAGGAGAGGAGACCUUUCGCUGGCCUACAUAUCAAAUAAUUUCUCACCCUGCGAGUGGUGGAGGAAGCAAUCCAAGUCCCUUAGCUCUGAAUCCCUUUCCUUUCUCUGGGCUUGUACUUGGCAGCAGGGGUAGGGUGCUGCUGGCUGUGCUGCCGUGCGUUGUUUGAUAGAUGCAGACAAAUCCAGGAAGCGAUGCGAAUCCUGUAUGACUUCUGUUAUCCCCAGAGGGACUUCCUGCAACGGAAACAAUUAGGGUGGCUUUUGUUGCCUUUGGGUUAAGGGGAGGGCUGCUGUCAGGUUAUUAUUUCCAUUGGCGUCUAAGAAACCGGUCCCUUAAGAUGUCACAUUCUGAGUGGCUUGUGACACAACCCUAAGUGAGCAGACUUCUCCAGGGAAUGAAGAGCCAUUCACCACCACGGGGCUAAAGGCUAGCCAAGAGCAGUUGCACCAAGCUCGCUGUGGCAGUAGAGGAGCCUGUACAGCUGCAAAGCCACCUGAAGUGCCGUGUCAUUUUACUGCCCUUCUGCAGGGGAAACUUCCCGACUUGCUUCAAAGCUGCUGUUCUCUCUGCCACUGUAGCGGUCUUAAAAAUGAAAAUCAUUUUGGGGACAGGUUCGGGAGCAUCAGGGGAUGGGAUUGGAGAGACCACCUGAGGGACUCGCUCUCUGAUGCUCUGCACUGAUCUCUGCCAGCAAAUGGCUGCUGCUCUUACCAGGCAGUGAGUGUGCACUCAGAGGUGGAAGUGCUGUCAUGGAAACUUUAAAGCGCCGCUUAUGGAGGUGUGCAAACUGCAGAAUCAAAAGUAUUAAUUGCAGCUUGGAUAUUUAUUUAUUUAGCCUGAGAAUCAAAUUAGGCAAUCGUGACAGUAAAGCAGUAGUAUAAAAUUGAGUGGCCUGUUGUGACUGUGUUCUGGGGAAAACCCGUGUGUUUCAGUAUUAAAGGAGGGAAGGUGAAAGUGAUCCUUCCCACCUGCCUGUGCUGCGAGACAGAAACUUGGCUCAGCCUUCUGCUUGAAGCAGUGGUGGGAAAUGUGCUUGAAGAUCUAAUUUUGACUCUGGCCAAAGAGGGAGGAGGACACAAGGAGCUGCAGCGGUAUCAAGAUUCCAGGCUGGUAUUCAAAACCAAAUCAAAUGCAUACAGGAGCAGCAUAAAAAAAAACAAAUCAGA
rnacentral:lncRNA from 1 species